rnacentral:rRNA from 1 species
GAAGUCUGAUGGAGCAACGCCGCGUGAGUGAAGAAGGUUUUCGGAUCGUAAAGCUCUGUUGUUGGUGAAGAAGGAUAGAGGUAGUAACUGGCCUUUCUUUGACGGUAAUCUACCAGAAAGCGCACGGCUAACUACGUGCCAGCAGCCGCGGUAAU